CGCGUAGGCGGUUUGUUAAGUCGGAUGUGAAAUCCCCGGGCUCAACCUGGGAAUUGCAUUCGAUACUGGCCGACUAGAGUACGAGAGAGGGAGGUAGAAUUCCACGUGUAGCGGUGAAAUGCGUAGAUAUGUGGAGGAAUACCGGUGGCGAAGGCGGCCUCCUGGCUCGAUACUGACGCUGAGGUGCGAAAGCGUGGGUAGCAAACA
rnacentral:rRNA from 1 species